AACGAACGCUGGCGGCGUGCUUAACACAUGCAAGUCGAGCGAGAAAGGGGGGCGAACUCCCUCGAGUAAAGACGGCGCACGGGUGAGUAACGCGUGGGUAACCGUACCUCCAGGCGGGGGAGUAACUACUCGAAAGGGUGGCUAAUACCGCAUGAGACCACGGGGUCUUCGGACCUUGAGGCCAAAGGCUGCAUCGGCUUGCCGGUGUAGUCACCAGGAGAUGGGCCCGCGUCCGAUUAGCUAGUUGGUGAGGUAAUGGCUCACCAAGGCUGCGAUCGGUAGCUGGUCUGAGAGGAUGAUCAGCCACACUGGAACUGAAACACGGUCCAGACUCCUACGGGUGGCUG
rnacentral:rRNA from 1 species